rnacentral:rRNA from 1 species
UACGUAGGGUGCGAGCGUUAAUCGGAAUUACUGGGCGUAAAGCGUGCGCAGGCGGUUUUGCAAGACAGAUGGGAAAUCCCCGGGCUUAACCUGGGAACUGCAUUUGUGACUGCAAGGCUAGAGUGUGUCAGAGGGAGGUGGAAUUCCGCGUGUAGCAGUGAAAUGCGUAGAGAUGCGGAGGAACACCGAUGGCGAAGGCAGCCUCCUGGGAUAACACUGACGCUCAUGCACGAAAGCGUGGGGAGCAAACAGG